rnacentral:rRNA from 1 species
AAUGGGCGAAAGCCUGACGGAGCAAGACCGCGUGGGGGAAGAAGGCUCUUGGGUUGUAAACCCCUUUUCUCUGGGAAGAACACAAUGACGGUACCAGAGGAAUCAGCAUCGGCUAACUCCGUGCCAGCAGCCGCGGUAAGACGGAGGAUGCAAGCGUUAUCCGGAAUGAUUGGGCGUAAAGCGUCCGCAGGUGGCAGUUCAAGUCUGCUGUCAAAGACCGGGGCUCAACCUCGGAAAGGCAGUGGAAACUGAACAGCUAGAGUAUGGUAGGGGCAAAGGGAAUUCCUGGUGUAGCGGUGAAAUGCGUAGAGAUCAGGAAGAACAUCGGUGGCGAAGGCGCUUUGCUGGACCAUAACUGACACUCAGGGACGAAAGCUAGGGGAGCGAAUGGGAUUAGAUACCCC